GCCAGGGACAGUGGCACGUGACUGUAGUCCCAGCUACUCCAAAGGCUGAGGUGGGAGGAUCUCUUGAGCCCAGGAGUUCUGGGCUGUAGUGCACUAUGCUGAUCAGGUGUCCGCACUAAGUUCGGCAUCAGUAUGGUGAUGUCCCGGGAGCAGGGGCAACCUCCAGGUUGCCUAAGGACUGGUGAACCAGCCCAGGUUGAAAACGGAGCAGGUCAAAACUCCCAUGCUGAUCAGUAGUGGGAUCAGGCCUGUGAAUAGCCACUGCACUCCAGCCUGGGCAACAUAGUGAGACCCCAUCUCUA
ensembl:misc_RNA Metazoa_SRP Metazoan signal recognition particle RNA